rnacentral:rRNA from 1 species
ACCCUUCGGGGAGCCUAUACAGGGUGUUGCAUGGCUGUCGUCAGCUCGUGUCGUGAGAUGUUCGGUUAAGUCCGCUAACGAGCGCAACCCUCGUCGUAUGUUAUAUGUGUCACACGGAACUGCCGGUCAUAACCGGAGGAAGGUGGGGAGUGACGUCAAGUCAGCAUGGCCUUUAUAUCCUGGGCUACACACACGCUACAAUGGGAAAGGGACGAAUAGGUUGCGAAGCCGCGAGGCGGAGCCAAUACCAGCAAAACUUCCCUCAGUUCAGAUUGCAGGCUGCAACCCGCCUGCAUGAAGUUGGAGUUGCUAGUAAACGCAGGUCAGCCAUACUGCGUUGAAUACGUUCCCGGGGCUU